UCCGUAGGCGGGAAUCUAAGUCAGAGGUGAAAUCCUGCAGCUUAACUGUAGAACUGCCUUUGAUACUGUUGAUCUUGAGUCAUUAUGAAGUGGUUAGAAUGUGUAGUGUAGCGGUGAAAUGCAUAGAUAUUACACAGAAUACCGAUUGCGAAGGCAGAUCACUAAUAAUGUACUGACACUGAGGGACGAAAGCGUGGGGAGCGAACAGGAUUAGAUACCCUGGUAGUCC
rnacentral:rRNA from 1 species